GUGCAAUGAUGUGUGAAUUUCUUCACCUGAAAUCACCGUGAAGAGUAAUUUAAGUAAUCGAGCUUUUUAACCCUGAGUCACA
ensembl:snoRNA LOC120101983 small nucleolar RNA SNORD36